CCACACUCCCAGCUGUCAACAUGUGAACUUCAACAAGAUAACAACACAGGUGAAGCUGGGAAAGGGAAUGUGCUGGAAAGCAUCUACACCCAUCCUCAACCAGUUCGGUAGUCUUUGGACAGUGAUAGACCAGGAAAAAAAAACAAACCACCCAAAACCCCUUCUAAACACAUGGUCCCAUUCAUAGUUUUCUUUCAGAUUAUAAAUUUUUACCACAAUCACUUAGAUCCUGUACACUGAUGAUUAACAUUACAGGAUUCUGAAGUCUGAUACAGUUUUCACAACUGACCGUGUUAUACUCAGCAGAUACUCUUGUAUGUAUUACUGAGAUCUUUUGGGCUUUAAACACGGGUUUGAUUAGGAACUGGGACUGACCAGGUUUUGGAAAGCAUAGGAAGUGAACCUGGACAGGCAGAGCUGCAGAAAACUGCGAAUGAAGCUAGUGUAUAUUUUGGUCUAUGCAAGUGACAAAGUGUAAGUUGUUUGAUGUACAUUGAGCAGCAAAGCACAUGAGAGACCUUCCUUUGCCUGUACUGUCUGACUGGCAAUGAUUUUUAUUUUUCCAGCUCUUCAGUUUUCACCAAAUUCAGCAUUUGUUCCCACCAACCCCUUAAAGCAUGUCUGAUACUGUGUAUUCCAUCAGAUUUUUUCAAAAGUUUCAUAUUACGUACAGAUAGAUGCAAAUAAUUAAACAUCAGUGAACCAAGUUACGUAGAACUUCACUUUGUUCAGCUCAUACUGUGCUUAAAAUAAUAAUUCAUCACAAAUAACUCUGCUACCAAAACCUUGCCACGCAAACCCAAUACAAGUCUACAAAAACUUGAUUCUUUUCAGUUUUUUGGAAAGAAACAUGAAACCUGCAUUAAAAAUUAAUCUGAUAGCCACCCUUCCACAACAUUUGUUACUAUAAAUUAAGUUUCCCUCUUUAAAUAAAUUGUGCAAACCCAAACCUUUCCCAGAUAUUCCCAUUACCCUUUAGUCUCUGAGUGCCUCUGUCUUUCACUUUGGAAUUUCUCUUAAGCUCUACCACUAGAUAGCUCUAGCAAUUUCUCCACAGUCCCCAGUGCACCAGCAAGCCAUAUUUGCCUUACAAAGGCUGAAAAGCUAAGCAUGGCUCCUUCACAUAUAACAGGACAAAAUCAGGCAACGGUUUCUCCCUCACACUUAAAAUGUACCAUCACAGACAGUAAAUCUGAUCUGGCAGGGAUGUCAGAUCCAAAUUACUGGGUAGACAACAAUUUGCUGUUUACUUGACUGUUAACAGCUUCCAGCCUUUUCAGAAAUAUUUUCUUUAUCAGUAGGGAACAGACCUCAACACUGCUUACAACAAGACUUGUAAUUACAGCAGCUGCAUAGAAAUAGCAAAAACACAUACAGCACACAAAAUUUCAGACCAUCUCUUUGUAACUUCAGUAACCUCAAGGGAGUGAUAGAGCCUGCAAGAGGACAUGCAAUCACCUUUAAAAUAAAAUUAAUUAAAAAAAAACCACAACAAAACCCAAAUAAUAAUUAGUAUUUCUAAUAUCAAGGUUCCAAAUUCACAGGAGCACAGGAAGCACUAUAAUAAAUGAGAUGUCUCAGGUGCUGGGAGGGCAAAUAUCCCUAAUAUUAUCUCUUAGCCUGCCUUUAAUAAACUACAAGAUUGUCUAGAGCUUUGAGAUUUAAAUCGUUCUACCAAAACUAUUACCAUCAUUGAUUGUAAUUGGGAAUACUCCUAUUAUUCAUAUACAGUGUAUUCAUGAAUAUUUCUAAGUUACACUCAGUUACAUUCCAUAGCACAUGGAAAUUAUGAAGUAUUUUUAGUAAUACUGCAUUUGCUACCAUUUUAUCUUUGAAUUUUAUCUGCUGAAUUUCUUCUUGCUCUUAAGGUUACUCAUCCCAACAAAGGGCUGAAAAGUGCUGAGCUACCUUCUUCAGGUGCUUGUUUCACACAUUGUUAAGUUGUUUCCCUUUAUUCCUAUUUGUUUUAGUGUAAACAACCCUAGGGUUUUUAGUACUUUUCACAAUUAAAAUCUCUAUUCAAAAACUCCUGAAGGAACUUUAUGGUUAUCAAUUCCUCAAAAGCUUUCUUCUUGAGAAACCAAACACACCUUUAAAGAAAUGAACCGGUCAACUAAUAAACACGUUAAAAAAUGCAAAAAUGGAGAUAAACGGUAUUAAAGGGGUGUAAUCAAGAGCUUUAGCGGGUACCGCACCAUCAGAACCACUUGCUGUGAUUCCACCUCCCUAAUUUACAGCUGCCUACCACCCGCUCUGUAUUUAGUAGCUUCGCUGCUUUUGGCACUCGUCCAGAAAAGCGCCAGCUUCCACAGGCACAUGUCACCGUUUCCAAACGCCACUCCUGCUCCGCGCAGGCCGGCCAUCCCUCUCAAAGGUCACCAGAGGAUAUGCCAGGACGGUUCAGGUCAUCCUUCCUAGCACAUCCAAGCUCAAGGUCAACCCCCGACCUCCUCACCGUCCGCCGCAGGCGCCCUCAAACGCACAUCGGCCUUGGCAACCCCUGAGGCGGACGCGGCUUUGCCUUAGUGGAAGGACAAAGCCGUGCGGUGCAGAAGCAGAAAGUGUCACGAGAUGGUAAUAAGCCGCUUGAUGGAGAAGAGCGGUUCCCACGCGUACAGGCUGCCGGGCUCCUCCUUGCUUCGCUGCAGGUCCUAAUUUAGACCACUGAAAAGGCUGCUUUACACAGACCUCCAUUCUGAGCCAGUCCUUGAACUGAUCUGGAAGACAGAAGAAUGACCGAAAACCAAUACGAACUGGAGGCCCUAAAGUUUUGAAGAGUUGGAACUGUGCUCAGGAGAAGGAGUUUGGCAAAAUCACUGCAUGACUAAAUGUGCCCUCCUAUGUUUUAUACCCCUCCUUGUCUCCUUCCUUCCUUCUCUCUUUACUCCUUCCCUCCUUUGUCCUGUCCCCCUUUCCUCCUUCGUUCCUUCUCUCCUUCAUUCCUUCUUUCCUCUUUCCCUUCUCUCCCAAGCCUUUUAAUCUGCCAACUGUUCUUAACAGAUGUUUCCCACAUACCCACCCAACUUCUGAUUCUCCUACUUUUCUUUAUACUACCUCUGUUUCUCCCGCUGGGCUGCUAUUAUCAUUGCUACUCAUGCAUUGCGCAUUAGAAAUCCCACAUCCAAAUCCAGUCAAUAGAUGUUAGAUUCAAAAUUUUCUUUGAGGGCAGGUCUCAAUCCCAGCUUACUGAAGUCAACAGCAGAUCUUUCUCUGCCUAAGCCAACCGCUCUAUCCUAACUCGCUUUUGAGACUCACAUUAGAGAACUGCAGCAAGUUCUGAAACUUUUAACCUGAAAGGCCGGAAGUUAUUGGAAAACAAGCUCUUGUUUUGCAGUCCCUCGUGGAUAACACCCACUUGGAUGAAGUUGCCAUCUGUUGUUUUCUUGGAUCGUGUCAGAAUAUGUGAAAUAAACUGGAAGAGAGAGAGGCAAAACGACAGACAGAUGCAAGUGGGGAAUAAUGUUUGGAAAUUUACUAUUGAGGUUCUGCAAAGCAAGAGAAGGACAUGAAAUGUUGCAUGUUAGGUCUGGAAAAGAUCUGCUGGGGCAAUAAAGAUGAUUGCACCGACCACCAAAAAGUGGCUGGAGCAUAAAGAAAGCUCCCUGGCUGCCAUAGAUCCAGCAUCGUUGUUCUUUAUUUCUUUUUCUCAUAGUUUUCUAGGCAGAAAUGGGCUGAAUGCUGGCCGUGGGAGGUGGGACCAGAAUCAUCCUUUAGACCAUGGCAAGAAGGACAAAGUCAAACAGCAGUUAGAGUAAAUAAUUUGUGGGCUUAAUGAUGGGAACUAAAAGUGUGACAUUCCCAUUAACCUCUUCCCCAAUCUGACUUGUAAUGAGGAAUCCAGCCUGUAUCUUAUAACCCGUCUCCAGUUACAAGACAGGAAAGGAGAGGAAAAGUUGAGGUAUAGGGUUAUGAUCAGAAGUUUCAUCAGUUUAGUGAUGUCACAUACAUUUUCACUUAAAUUUAAAUAAAUUUAAAUUUAAAAUAAAGUGGUUUAGGAUUCAAAACCAAAUAAUAUCAGUUCUGUUGGUGAAAAUGAAAUAGUGUUGUUUAUCCCUGUUAAAAAAGAAGCAUAGUUUUCUCUCUUUUCCUCUCUUCAGCUAUCAAUGAAUACCUGCCUGUAAUAUAGAAAGAAGAUACAUGUAUUAUGUGCAAUAUUGCACAAGACCCCAAAUUGGUAUCGUACAGAAGGUACAUUUCCUGAAAAUGUUUUCAGAAGUGUUUUAAUAGCAAAUGCUUCAUCAAGCUGUUAUAUCAUGUUAUAUACAGGAAGAGAAAAACUAACACAGAGUUAGUUCAUCUGCUAGCUUUUGAAUUUAAGCAAACACUUAAUAUACCAGUAGUAUUUAUUGCUGUUACAAGAUGUUAGGCAUGUCUGUAAGUAGUAUUUAAAUAUGAUUCUCUUUUAAGCUGAAACAGUUUUACUGACUCAAUGAUACAAGCAUUUCCUGAAAAAGAAGGACAUAUUUCCUGUAUUUUGUUAAUAUUUGACAGCACUAAUCUUAAACCAGUAGCAACAUGACACUGAUUUGUAAGACAGAUUUUAAAGUAAGGUUGAAAUUCUGUAUUAUUGUAUCCCACGUAAACUUGUUUACCGAGCAACAAUUACAUAAUAAAUUACAUUUAAAAC